CAUGGAUUGGUUAGACAGUGCUGAACACUCAACGGCAGAGUAAUGACCUAACAUUAUCACAAGAUGUCGCACUUUACAAAGUUAAAAGUCAAAGCUCUGCACAAUGUCAGGGAGUAAGUCAGUUCUUCAUCAUGUUAAAAGGGAUAUUGUUCUCCAUAUCAAACCAACCCCAAACCACUUAUGCGAGGGAAGGUUCUGUAUUGAGUCUGAGGCAACAAAGACCCUCAUUCUGCCUGACACUGGAGACGUUGUCCUGGCUCGAGCAAGGUCUGUGUACCGGGGACGGAGUGAUGCCAGCCAGUAAGAGAUGAUCCAUGCAUCCUGGCAUAGUCUAGGUGCUGUUGCGAGCGCGGAUGAAACGGUCCAGGCUGAAUUACACCAGAACCUCGGGCCAAAUCACUUUUGCUCAGUCAGUGCCGGAUGUGCAAAACAGGGGUCGAGAACCAUGAGACCCCAUGAUGGCAUCUAGACACCGGUGGUGGGGACGAAGGAGCCCGAAGACCAGACCGAAGGAGGCUUUGGACCGGUCAGCUGGAGUAGAUGACUGGAGGUAGAAGGGGAGGUGGAGGGUUCUACUCUUAACCUGCAACAACAGCUGAAUAGCCAAGGGAGAAACAGAUUUUUAAAGUAGUGUUGUGACUCUGUGAUUGGCCCAAUUUGUGUACGAUUCUGAUAGGUUAAGCAAGAAGGAGAACGCCUCCACCAGCUGAUUCUAUUUAGGAAGAGAGCAUUGAUUAAAUUAAGUUUUCCUGAAAGCAUUUAUGCUGAGCUAUAUUUCAAUCAGGAGAGACUAGGUGUGUAUAUGUGACAGUUAAACGUGGCAAAAGUAUAUUUAUUAAGAUAAAUGCUGAACUGAUUAGCAGUGCGCUGAUUAAAAGUUCGGUCUUCCUGAAAGAAUUUACGCUGAGCUACAUUUGUUGAUUGUUAGAAGUUGGAAAUAUAAAGAUUUUUAUGAGGAAUUAA